AAAACCACCAACAUGCUCAUGUGUUUUAUUUGUAUUCUCACCUUGCGUCUACAGUGUUUGGGAGCCUGUAGUAACCAGCAUGCUGACCCAAAUCUUCAAC